UACGUAGGUGGCAAGCGUUACUCGGAAUCACUAGGCGUAAAGCGCAGGUAGGCGGUUCGGUAAGUCUCUUGUGAAAGCUCCCGGCUCAACUGGGAGAGGUCAAGGGAAACUACCGGGCUAGAGUGUGGCAGAGGAAGCUGGAAUUCCCGGUGUAGCGGUGAAAUGCGUAGAGAUCGGGAGGAAGACCAGUGGCGAAGGCGGGUCUCUGGGACGGUACUGACGCUGAGACGCGAAAGCGUGGGGAGCGAACAGG
rnacentral:rRNA from 1 species